GUCUCUGUGGCGCAAUUGGUUAGCGCGUUCGGCUGUUAACCGAAAGGUUGGUGGUUCAAGUCCACCCAGGGACG